AUGCAGCUAGCCAUGGCUGCCCAAGACGAACAGCAGCCGCCGCUGCACAUCCUCUUCUUCCCGUUCCUAGCCCCCGGCCACCUCAUUCCAAUAGCCGACAUGGCCGCGCUCUUCGCCGCCCGUGGCGUCAGGUGCACCAUCCUCACCACGCCCGUCAACGCAGCCAUCAUCUGCUCGGCCGUCGACCAUGCCAAUGACGCCUUCGCUGGCCCGGCCAUUGAUAUCUCCGUCGUGCCGUUUCCUGACGUCGGGCUCCCGCCGGGCGUCGAGAACGGCAUGGCCCUUACAUCCCAGGGCGACCGCGACAAGUUCGCUCAAGCGGUGCAGCUGCUCCGCGAGCCCUUCGAACAGUUCUUGGUUCACAACCACCCCGAUGCGGUCGUGACCGGCAGCUACUUCCACUGGUCCGUCGACGCUGCCGCGGAGCACGGUGUCCCACGCCUCACCUUCCUCGGUAGCAGCAUGUUCGCGCGGUCCUGCAGCGAGAGCAUGCUGCGCAACAACCCAUUGGCGACUGGCCCCGACGACCCCGACGCGCUCGUUUCCCUGCCGGGGCUGCCGCACCGUGUCGAGCUGAGGCGGAGCCAAAUGAUGGACCCCGUGAAGCAGGCGGACCACUGGGCAUUCUUCCAGAGCGUGAACGCCGCGGACCAGAGGAGCUUCGGCGAGGUUUUUAAUAGCUUCCAUGAGCUGGAGCCGGACUACGUCGAGCACUACCACACGACCCUUGGCCGCCGCGCGUGGCUCGUCGGGCCGGUAGCACUCGCCAGCAAGGACAUGGCUGGGAGAGGCACCGACGCGCUCUCGCCGGACUCGGACAACUGCCUUGGGUGGCUGAACACGAAGCCCACCGGCUCGGUGGUGUACGUCUCCUUCGGCACGCUGAUCAGGUUCUCGCCGGCGGAGCUGCACCAGCUCGGUGGGUCUUCGUACAAUGAUGUUGGCCAGUUGAUGGACGAGUUGACGGCCCGCCUGAGUUCCAUGAAGGUUGGCGAAAUGUAA
rnacentral:rRNA from 1 species